UACGGGAGGCAGCAGUGAGGAAUAUUGGUCAAUGGGCGGAAGCCUGAACCAGCCAAGUAGCGUGCAGGAUGACGGCCCUAUGGGUUGUAAACUGCUUUUAUAGGGGGAUAAAGUGAGGUAUGGAUACCUUUUUGCAUGUACCCUAUGAAUAAGGACCGGCUAAUUCCGUGCCAGCAGCCGCGGUAAU
rnacentral:rRNA from 1 species